rnacentral:lncRNA from 1 species
GAAGCGCCAUUUGCUUCUCGGUUCAUAUUCAACACCCAGCUAAAGUGAUCCUUCCCGAUUUUGGUUCUAUCACUUUGUGUCCGGCUAAUUGCUAUACCGCGAAUAAUCUUCACAUCGUCUAGAUGAAAAUAUGCAUCCAGCAGAUCCCUAUUCCAGGAACAAUCCAGCAUAGUACAUUAAUUAAUCAGUGGUUUAGUAUAAACCGCAGGAGUUAUGUAAUUCUUUUUUUGGUAUUUUAUAU